UAGGUAUUUUCGUGGACCGAGCGCACGAUCCGACGGCAUGGGUUCAUCAGGUUAUUGAUCCGAUGGCUGGAGGCUGUUUUAAGUUUUAAUCGAAGAGGUUACUCCGAUCUGAAUGCGGAUUUGGGCCUUUAAAAAGGCCCAUGGGCAGACAGCUUUUGUGUAAUGCGACAGAGAGUUUCUAGGAGAAAACUAAGAGAGCUUGAGACGGGUUCUUGAGUGCUUUUGUAAGGGGUGUGUGUGAGGUCUUCCAAGAGAGAAGAGAGGUGUUCACAAGAGAGAGAAGAAAGGUUUCUUCCAAGAGAGAAGAAGAGGAGGCGUGCAAGGCUAGAGGAAGGAUUUUCUUCUAGGAGGCACCACUUGCAAAGAGAGAUUUUUUUUUAUUUUUCUUCUCCUGUUUUACUCCUGUAAAUCCCUUGCUAUUAUAUAAAGAAAAAAUAUAUAUUCUAUGCAGCCGUGGACGUAGGAGCAAGAGACUCCGAACCACGUAAAAUUCCUUAUGUUUUGUUUUGUGCAUGUGUGUUUUAUUUUUUCAAUUUUUCUUUCCUUUCUCCUGCGACUACCAUAAUCCGCUGCGUAUCGCUACCUAACAUCCCCCCUCCCAUCCCAUACACAGUUAGAAAGAACACAUUGUUCUUCUUUAAAUGAUAAUAGCUGUACCUCUAAGUGUAGGAAAUUGCUAGAAUAUAAGAGGAAAAAAAAGGAUCAUGCACUCCAGAAUGGUACGAGUGCCAUCACAAUAAAAGUGCAGAUAAAAUGUUAGAUUGCCAUUCUACAGAGGUUAAACCAGUU
rnacentral:lncRNA from 1 species